GACGAACGCUGGCGGCGUGCUUAACACAUGCAAGUCGAACGGAGUGGCGAACGGGUGAGUAUUACGUGAGUAACCUGCCCUCAACUGUGGGAUAAGCCUGGGAAACUGGGUCUAAUACUGCAUAGUUGGGGAUGGGCUCGCGGCCUAUGAGCUGGUUGGUGGUGUGCUGGCCUACCAAGGCGGUGACGGGUAGCCGGCCUGAGAGGGUGGUUGGCCACAUUGGGACGGAGAUACGGCCAAGAGUCCUACGGGAGGCAGCAGUGGGGCAUAGUGCACAAUGGGGGCGAGCCCGAUGCACGGACGUCGCGUGGGGUAUGAAGUCGUCCGGGUCGGAAACCUAUUUCGGUAAAGAACGGGUAUGUGCAGAAGAAGCGCCGGCUAACUACGUGCCAGCAGCCGCGGUAAUAC
rnacentral:rRNA from 1 species